UCCCUGAUAGCUCAGUUGGUAAAGAAUCUGCCUGCAACGCAGGAGACCCCAGUUUGAUUCCUGGGUUGGGAA
rnacentral:tRNA from 1 species